UAAGCCUGUGAAGGUGUGUCGUGAGGCAUGCUGGAGGUAUCAGAAGUGCGAAUGCUGACAUAAGUAACGAUAAAGCGGGUGAAAAGCCCGCUCGCCGGAAGACCAAGGGUUCCUGUCCAACGUUAAUCGGGGCAGGGUGAGUCGACCCCUAAGGCGAGGCCGAAAGGCGUAGUCGAUGGGAAACGGGUUAAUAUUCCCGUACUUGGUGUUACUGCGAAGGGGGGACGGAGAAGGCUAUGUUGGCCGGGCGACGGUUGUCCCGGUUUAAGCGUGUAGGUGUGUGUUCCAGGUAAAUCCGGUUCACUUUAACACUGAGGCGUGACGACGAGGCACUACGGUGCUGAAGCAACAAAUGCCCUGCUUCCAGGAAAAGCCUCUAAGCAUCAGGUAACAUCAAAUCGUACCCCAAACCGACACAGGUGGUCAGGUAGAGAAUACCAAGGCGCUUGAGAGAACUCGGGUGAAGGAACUAGGCAAAAUGGUGCCGUAACUUCGGGAGAAGGCACGCUGACACGUAGGUGAAGUGAUUUACUCAUGGAGCUGAAGUCAGUCGAAGAUACCAGCUGGCUGCAACUGUUUAUUAAAAACACAGCACUGUGCAAACACGAAAGUGGACGUAUACGGUGUGACGCCUGCCCGGUGCCGGAAGGUUAAUUGAUGGGGUCAGCGCAAGCGAAGCUCCUGAUCGAAGCCCCGGUAAACGGCGGCCGUAACUAUAACGGUCCUAAGGUAGCGAAAUUCCUUGUCGGGUAAGUUCCGACCUGCACGAAUGGCGUAAUGAUGGCCAGGCUGUCUCCACCCGAGACUCAGUGAAAUUGAACUCGCUGUGAAGAUGCAGUGUACCCGCGGCAAGACGGAAAGACCCCGUGAACCUUUACUAUAGCUUGACACUGAACAUUGAGCCUUGAUGUGUAGGAUAGGUGGGAGGCUUUGAAGUGUGGACGCCAGUCUGCAUGGAGCCGACCUUGAAAUACCACCCUUUAAUGUUUGAUGUUCUAACGUGGACCCGUGAUCCGGGUUGCGGACAGUGUCUGGUGGGUAGUUUGACUGGGGCGGUCUCCUCCUAAAGAGUAACGGAGGAGCACGAAGGUUGGCUAAUCCUGGUCGGACAUCAGGAGGUUAGUGCAAUGGCAUAAGCCAGCU
rnacentral:rRNA from 1 species